GAUGAACGCUGGCGGCGUGCCUAAUACAUGCAAGUCGAGCGAACAGACGAGGAGCUUGCUCCUCUGACGUUAGCGGCGGACGGGUGAGUAACACGUGGAUAACCUACCUAUAAGACUGGGAUAACUUCGGGAAACCGGAGCUAAUACCGGAUAAUAUAUUGAACCGCAUGGUUCAAUAGUGAAAGACGGUUUUGCUGUCACUUAUAGAUGGAUCCGCGCCGCAUUAGCUAGUUGGUAAGGUAACGGCUUACCAAGGCAACGAUGCGUAGCCGACCUGAGAGGGUGAUCGGCCAAACUUGAACUGAGACACGGUCCAGACUCCUACGGGAGGCAGCAGUAGGGAAUCUUCCGCAAUGGGCGAAAGCCUGACGGAGCAACGCCGCGUGAGUGAUGAAGGUCUUCGGAUCGUAAAACUCUGUUAUUAGGGAAGAACAAAUGUGUAAGUAACUAUGCACGUCUUGACGGUACCUAAUCAGAAAGCCACGGCUAACUACGUG
rnacentral:rRNA from 1 species